rnacentral:lncRNA from 1 species
AGUGUAAGGAACAGCAUUUGUUGGAAUAAUUGGCACAAUUCUUCUCUUAACCAAAGCUACCUGUGUUGUAUGCUAGUUGACAGUCUCAUGCUAGUUCAUUUCAUUGUCAAUAUGCUUUGUAUGCCGAAAAUGUCUUACUUCAAAAAGGUGCAAGAUGGGCUGGAGAGAUGGCUCAGCCAUUAAAGGCUAGGCUCACAACCAAAAAGGUGCAAGAUUGGGUGUGGCAAUAAAUGACUUUAAUCCUGGCACUGGGGGUGGGGAGAAGGAGAUCUCUGUAAGCUUGAGGUCAGUUACAGAUGCUACAAAAAAAAUUGAGAAGGCAAUUUAUGCACAUCUAAAAUUUUUCAGACAACCCAUGAAUCUAUAAAGAAUAAAAUAAGUGAUGCCUGGAAUUCUCCUAGGCAGUAAUAACCGUUUCCACCAUUUUGGGUGUCUUUAACAGCAGAGCGUUUUCUCAUUUUCUGUGUAGUACACAAACAUGCACUCAGAUCUGCACACGUGCAUACUUGAUCUACAUAGAUUUAUGUGUACAUGCAUCUAAUGUUUAUAUCUCAGAAACUUAUAUGUAUCUCACAUAUACACACACACAGACAUACACCCCCAGGUGGGCUGACGCCAAUAUCGUUUUUUUUAAGAAUGGGCUCUUGGGGCUGGGGAUUUAGCUCAGUGGUAGAGCGCUUACCUAGGAAGCGCAAGGUCCUGGGUUCAGUCCCCAGCUCCGAAAAAAAGAACCAAAAAAAAAAAAAAAAAAAAAGAACGGGC